AUCAACGCUGGCGGCGCGCUUAACACAUGCAAGUCGAACGAGAAAGUGGAGCAAUCCAUGAGUACAGUGGCGUACGGGUGAGUAACACGUGGGUAAUCUGCCUUUUAGUGUGGAAUAACCCUGGGAAACCGGGGCUAAUACCGCAUAAGCUCGAGAGAGGAAAGUCGCAAGACGCUGAAAGAGGAGCCCGCGGCCGAUUAGCUAGUUGGCAGGGUAAGAGCCUACCAAGGCAGAGAUCGGUAGCCGGCCUGAGAGGGCACACGGCCACACUGGCACUGAAACACGGGCCAGACUCCUACGGGAGGCAGCAGUGGGGAAUAUUGCACAAUGGGGCGCAAGCCUGAUGCCAGCGAAUGCCGCGUGAGUGAUGAAGGCCUUAGGGUUGUAAAGCUCUUUCGGCAGGGGACGAUGAUGACGGUACCCUGCAGAAGAAGCCUGCGGCUAACUACGUGUCAGGCAGCCGCGGUAAUACGAGGGGGCGAGCGUUGUUCGGAGUUACUGGGCGUAAAGGGUCGCGCUAGGCGGCGAGUUUGGUCAGUCUGGUGAAAUCUCCCGGCUUAACCUGGGAGGCUGCGCGUGAAACUGGCUUGACUAGAGAUGCGGGAGAGGAAAGUGGAAUUCCAGGUGUAGAGGGUGAGAUUCGUAGAUAUUGGGAAGAACACCGGUGGCGAAGGCGGCUCUCUGGACCGAUACUGACGCUGAGGCGCGAAAGCGUGGGGAGCAAACAGGAUUAGAUACCCUGGUAGUCCACGCUGUAAACGAUGUGUGCUAGACGUUGGGGAGCCUAGCUCUUCGGUGUCGCAGCUAACGCGGUAAGCACACCGCCUGGGGAGUACGGCCGCAAGGUUAAAACUCAAAUGAAUUGACGGGGACCCGCACAAGCGGUGGAGCAUGUGGAUUAAUUCGAUACUAACCGAAGAACCUUACCCAGGUUUGACAUCGAGGGAAAACCUAUGAAAGUAGGUCCUCGCCCACAAGGCGACCCGAAGACAGAUGUUGUAUGGCUGUCGUCAGCUCGUGCCGUGAGGUGUACGGUUAAGUCCGCCAACGAGCGCAACCCUCGUCCUGUGUUACCAGCGAGUCAAGUCGGGAACUCACAGGAGACCGCCGGUGUAAGCCGGAGGAAGGUGGGGAUGACGUCAAGUCAGCAUGGCUCUUACGCCUGGGGCUUCACACAUGCUACAAUGGGCGCAACAGAGGGCAGCAAUACCGUGAGGUGGAGCUAAUCCCAAAAAUACGCCCCCAGUUCAGAUUGCAGUCUGCAACUCGACUGCAUGAAGGCGGAAUCGCUAGUAAACGCAGGUCAGCUAUACUGCGUUGAAUACGUUCCCGGGUCUUGUACACACCGCCCGUCAAGUCACCUGAAUUGUCUUCACCCGAAGUCCGUGGCCUAACCGCAAGGAAGGAGCGGCCGAAGGUGAGGGGAGUAAGGGGGACU
rnacentral:rRNA from 1 species